rnacentral:lncRNA from 1 species
AUCGAUAUUAAACUCUAUGUAAUAGAGUCUAAUUGGUUCAUGAGAUAUGGGUAUGAGAUCUGGGUAUUCGUUCAUGGGAUUUGGGUAUUGGUUUAUGGGAUAUGGGUAUUAGGUUGGAUGUAUGGUUCAUGGGAUUUGGUCCAUGAGGUUUGGUGUAUGGUUUGUGGGGUUUGGUCCAUGAGGUUUAGUUGUGGUUCAUGGGAUUUGGUCCAUGAGAUUUGAUUAUGGUUCAUGGAUUUGGUCUAUGAGAUUUGGUUGGUUCAUGGGAUUUGGUCCAUGAGAUUUGGUUUAUGGUUCAUAGGAUUUGGUCCAUGAGGUUUGGUUUAUGGUUCAUGGGAUUUGGUCCAUGAGAUUUGGUUUAUGGUUCAUGGGAUUUGGUCCAUGAGGUUUGGUUUAUGGUUCAUGGGAUUUGGUCCAUGAGAUUUGGUUUUGGUUCAUGGGAUAUGGUCCAUGAAGUUUAGUUGUGGCUCAUGGGAUUUGGUCCAUGAGGUUUGGUUUUGGUUCAUGGGAUUUGGUCCAUGAGAUUUGAUUUAUGGUUCAUGGGAUUUGGUCCAUGAGAUUUGGUUUUGGUUCAUGGGAUAUGGUCCAUGAGGUUUGAUUAUGAUUCAUGGGAUUUGGUCCAUGAGAUUUGGUUGGUUCAUGGGAUUUGGUCCAUGAGGUUUGGUUUUGGUUCAUGGGAUUUGGUCCAUGAGGUUUGAUUUUGGUUCAUGGAAUUUGGUCCAUAAGGUAUGGUUUUGGUUCAUGGGAUUUGGUCCAUGAGGUUUGGUUUUGGUUCAUGGGAUUUGGUCCAUGAGGUUUGGUUUUGGUUCAUGGGAUUUGGUCCAUGAGGUUUGGUUUUGGUUCAUGGGAUUUGGUCCAUGAGAUUUGGUUUUGGCUCAUGGGAUUUGGUCCAUGAGAUUUGGUUUUGGUUCAUGGGAUUUGGUCCAUCAGGUUUGGUUUUGGUUCAUGGAAUUUGGUACAUGAGGUUUGGUUUUGGCUUAUGGGAUUUGGUCCAUGAGAUUUGGUUUAUGGUUCAUGGGAUUUGGUCCAUGAGAUUUGGUUUUGGUUCAUGGGAUAUGGUCCAUGAAGUUUAGUUGUGGCUCAUGGGAUUUGGUCAAUGAGGUUUGGUUUUGGUUCAUGGGAUUUGGUCCAUGAGAUUUGGUUUAUGGUUCAUGGGAUUUGGUCCAUGAGAUUUGGUUUUGGUUCAUGGGAUAUGGUCCAUGAGGUUUGAUUAUGGUUCAUGGGAUUUAGUCCAUGAGAUUUGGUUUUGGUUCAUGGAAUUUGCUCUAUGAGGUUUGGUUUUGGUUCAUGGGAUUUGGUCCAUGAGGUUUGGUUUUGGUUCAUGGGAUUUGGUCCAUGAGGUUUGGUUUUGGUUCAUGGAAUUUGGUCCAUGAGGUUUGAUUUUGGUUCAUGGGAUUUGGUCUAUGAGGUUUGGUUUUUGUUAAUGGGAUUUGGUCCAUGAGAUUUGGUUCAUGACUCAUGAGGUUGAGUAUGUGGAUCGGGUUCAUGAGCUUGGAUAUGGUGUAUGAGGUUUGGNAUUUUAUUUAUAGACUUGGUUUGGGUUAGGUUUGGAUUCUAUUUGUGGAAUGGGUUUGGGUUCUUUAUGUGGACUUGGUUUGGAUUAGGUUUGGAUGUGGACUUGAUUUGGGUUUGGGUUUUGAUUUGAUUUGGGUUUUGCGUUUCGAUUUAUUUGUAGACUGUAUUUGGUUUUGGUUUGGUUUGGGUUCGGAUUUUAUUUCGGGUUCGAGGAAAUCCACUUUUGAUUUUUGCAAUUUGGUUCGGAUCUGAAGAAAUCCUCUUUUGAUUUUGGUUUGAUUUGGGGUCCGAAGAAAUCUCCAUUUUGAUUUCCCCGUUUGAUUUCGAUUUGAAUUUGAUUUUCAAAUUUGAUUUGGGGUCUAAAGAAAUCCCCGUUUGAUUCUCCAAUUGGAUUUGAUUUGGGGUCCGAAGAAAUCCCCGUUUGAUUCUCCAAUUUGGAUUUGAUUUUCCAAUUUGGAUUUGAUUUUCCAAUUUGAUUUGAUUUGGGUCCGAAGAAAUUCCCGUUCGAUUCUCCAAUUUGGAUUUAAUUUUUCAAUUUGAUUUGGGGUCCGAAGAAAUU